rnacentral:tRNA from 1 species
GCUCCGUUCGUCUAGUCCGGACAAGGAUAUCAGGCCUUCACCCUGAAGACUUGGGUUCAAAUCCCAGACGGAGCA